rnacentral:misc_RNA from 1 species
UCCCGGUUAACCCGGGCAGUCUCGCUAGAGUGCUCAACUUAAUGGUAGCAACUAACAACAAGGGUUGCGCUCGUUGCGGGACUUAACCCAACAUCUCACGACACGAGCUGACGACAACCAUGCACCACCUGUCUUCCUGCCCCGAAGGGCUUCCCCGAUUAAGGGUAAUUCAGGAGAUGUCAAGUCUAGGUAAGGUUCUUCGCGUUGCUUCGAAUUAAACCACAUGCUCCGCUGCUUGUGCGGGCCCCCGUCAAUUCCUUUGAGUUUUAAUCUUGCGACCGUACUCCCCAGGCGGGGUACUUAUUGUGUUAACGGCGGCACAGGGGGAGUCGAUACCCCCUACACCUAGUACCCAUCGUUUACGGCGUGGACUAC